GAGCGGGGACUUCUCGGGCUCCGAGUGUGCGCCUUGUGCAUUUCUGUGUUUGUGUGAUCAAGCUUUAAUGAAACAGAGUGGCUCUGAAGCUGGUGGCAGGCUCGUGCCCUUGGCUCCCAGGGCCUACCUCUGAGUACUCACUGCCUCAGAGCCUCCGGUCGGUCUUAGGGGUUGGGAUAGGUAAAGGGGCAGCCAUGGAAGAGUCCUGUGUGAAUGUGUGUGGGUGCCUGUAAAGGUGCCUACAGCUGAGCCUGGACCAGAGCAGACUGAAUCCCAGAAUGACCUCCUUAAUACUUCGUGCAAUUUCCCAUAAGAAGCCCACAGUUAAAGCCACUCAGUUUGCUGGACACCUGCUGACUGGCCGAAAGCAGGCCCAGAUAGGAAGGAGACACAGGCCCAGAGAGGUGACAUCUCCGGCCUGAGUUCGCACAGAAGUCACUAAAGGGGCCAGAGCUGGAUCCUUGGGUCACCUGGGUCCCUGAACCGUGCUCUGUCCUGCCAUCUCCCCCUGUCAGGGCUUCUGGCCCUGUGGCUCUAUCAUCCGUUAAUCAGUGGUGAUACCCGGGUCCAGCUCCUCCCUCACACCAGGACAGGCAAGGACACUGGGCAAGUCUGUCC
ensembl:lncRNA